UUUUUCUUAGGAUUUACUCCCGUCUAAAUCAGUAGGCUUACUCUUGACUUCAAUCCCAAUCUCACAAAAACACGAAUUCAAUACAGUUCCAAUUCCAAUCUGCAAUAUUUUGGUACUCUUGACCAAAUCGAGCUUUCAAUUGAAUUGAAAUUGAAAUCGAAUUGACGAUCGGUUUCUCGUGUAGCCAUUAUAAUAAAAAAUAAUAAGAAAAUAAAAUUUAAUUC